GCCAGAUUUUUUUCCAUGAAAAUAUGAAUUUAUAAGAUUUUAAAAUGCUACAUCAUUCAUUUACAAUAUUAUUAUAUGUACAUCAACAACAGAAGCUGAUAUUAUAUGUUAACAAUCUCAAAAUGGACAACAUAACAAACAAUAAAUAUCUGUAUCAGAUCACAUGAUAACAAUUACAAAGUCACAUGGUAAUAAUUACAUAGUCACAUGGUGUUAUAAGAAUAAGAAUAAGAAUACUUAUAGAUGAACAAAUCAUAUUGUGUUUCAUACAUGAUCAAUUUUAUUUACAUUGCGGUAGAUAAUUUGGAGAAUUUACAGCACAAGAUUUAUCUCCCUUGACAUGAUCAACCUUUUUCCCCUAAAUAAAUAUGAAUGAUAGGUACUGUGAUAAUUUUAUAAAUGUAUGUGAAAUAUUGAAAAAAAAAAUCAUAACUGAAAAAUGACCCUUAAAAUAAUAUUAUUGUAAAUUCAUUAAUAUUUCAAAAAAUUUAUGAUUAAAACAGUUAAUGAAAAGGAUGUGAAUUUUGUUAGCUUCACAAAUUUUUGUACAAGAGAUUUUUUGUGUGUGGACAAAUAAAUCAUAAUAAAUAGGAUGUUUGCAGCAUACAACAAAACAUUCAACAAAAUUAAAAUAUUUAUAUCUUUUUUAUGAACCACAAUUAGAAACUUUACCAUUAUUCAUGUAUUAGAAAACUGAUAGUUUGACUUUUAAUCCUGUUAUUUAAGCUUUAUCAGCUAUAUAACAAUUCCAUUCAAUAAAUAACUUUUUAACAUAAUCGAUAAAAAAUUCAAAUGUUUUGUACAAAGUAUACAACUAGUAUAUACUAACAUCAAUUUUACACAUAACAAACUGAACUUUUUCAGUUUUUUCAACAGUAUCUUUGUAAUGGCUUUUAUUAAAAUAAUUGUGCACCAACAGAGCCGACUCAGACCUUAAACUAUAACCUAGGACAAAAAACAUGAUAAAAACAUUCAGGUUUUUGAAAAUGGUUUACAGCUAGAUAGAUUCAAAGUAGAACACAUCAUCUUGGUUUUAUAACUUUAAAUCUAUUUGCAUAAAUCUGUUUAUAACAAGGAUUUAUUUGAAUCUGGAUUAAUUUUAAAUCUUGAAAAUUGAUAAAAAUGUAUGAUGAAAACUAACCAAACUAAAUAGAUUUUUGGUUAUUUUCAAUUUUAUUUCAUUAUGAACUGACCACUUUGCCAUGCAUGCCCCUUUUUUAAUUGGGUUAGUUAUCAUCAUAAAUUUCUUUUCGAGAAUUUGUAACUGUUCAAGUUUCAAAUAAUUCUUAGUUGUAUUUAAUAACAAAUUUUUUUGCACAAAUAUGUUAAAUAUGCUAAUUCAAUGUACACGUGAUUUACAACUUAUCACAUUUAGUUUAGUUGUAGUUAUGUCCCUUUGGAAAGGAGAUUACUCUUCAGUAUUUUUAAAAUAUAUCAAACAUUCUAAACAAUUGGGAAUAGAGGUUUUCGCAAAUAAGUUGUGAUCCAAUGGGGAGUAAGGGAUGCCUGAACUAUUUAAACUGUUAUAAAUAUACCCAUAUCACUUUUGACAUUUCUUGUCAUUUUAUAAAAUAUAUGAUGGAUGUUAAGCAGCACAGACAUUUCUAUUUAUAGCAAGGGUGUUUUUUUUCAAAUAUUUGUUUAGGGAUUUAGUAAUUGAUGUUUCUUUCAUCCUUAAGGGAGAAAAAAAUUGCAUCAUCUUUGCCAAAAAAAAAGGGGUGAAAAAAAAUGGAUUUAUAAAUGUUCAUAUCUAUAUAUAUGUGUAUAUAUAGAUAUGUACUCCGGUUUAUAUGAUCCGUUCAUCCUACAUUGACUCUUAAAAUUCAAGAGUCUAUCUAAAAAUGAGGGUACUUUUUAUAUGGCCUUCCAAAUACCGUUUCGAUCCCUAACAUCACUGAAGAGACAUUUAUUGUCGAAAUCCGGAUCUGGUGUACUAAAUAAAUAUUGACACCGUACGUUUGUGGCAUAACAUCGUGGCCACAAGUUAAAAAAAAAUUUCUGUUUAGUAUUAAAUUUAUAUUAAGAUCCAUUUUGUUACAUUUUGUGAUCAAUUUUAUUUGGCAAUCGCCAAUGGCAGUCAGCAGGGUUAAAGAACAUCAGUUGUUCGACCUGUUAGUCACAUGCGUUUUGUUUACAUAUACUUUUUCACUUUUUUGGUCUUUUGGAAAAUGUUAUUUGUGCUGUUUUUAGACCCU
rnacentral:lncRNA from 1 species